GUGGUUAUGAGCACGUGUUGCUUUUCCAGAGGACCUGGGUUCAAUUCCCAGUAACCACA
rnacentral:tRNA from 1 species